rnacentral:lncRNA from 1 species
GACAGUCUUCUGACCAGGUGUUUGGAAAAAUUACAGCCUGCCUAUCAAGUGACCCUUCCCGGACAAGAGCCCAUUGUGAAGAAAGGGAGAAUCUGUCCAAUUGACAUCACCCUAGCACAAAGAGCGUCUAAUAAAAAGAUAACAAAACUGAGGCUGAGUUUAAGAAACAUGCCUGUGGUCCCCUGCUAGUAAGAAGCUAAGUAGGAACUGGAAUCAAAUCCAUCUAAGGCCCAUGCUCUUCUCAAUUCACCAUGUAGCCACCAUGGGACGGCAUCUUUUGCUGAAGGGGCCGGCCUGCCACACCCAUAAUGAUCACUGAAACUCUGUGCUGCGGGGCUGGGAUGAGCAGCUGUUAAACCAAAGCCUGUCUCUGGAACUGAACCUUGAUUCUGUUGCAGACCACCCAAGGGCAAGCAGCUCUGGCCAUCUCCCACUUGCCGGAGAAAUUAAAACGUUUUUGUGGACCUCUAAAGUCGUGUGUGCCUGUGGCACGAUGCCUGCUGUGCCUCAUGGAGAAGUGACCAUACUUUCCAGCUGUUCAGUCCCAGACCACCCUGAACCAGAGUACUGCAGAGUUAAUUAAGGAUGGACGGUGGGUAGGUGAGUGAGUGGAUCCCAAUACCCCAUCCCAGGCCAACUCUCUCCUAAGCUCUCUCAGUUCUUUCAGGCCAAUUUAGAGAGUAUUCCUUUGCAAAUGAUAUAUGCCAUAAGGGAUUGAUAUGCAGAAUAUAUAAACUACCACAAUACAAA